rnacentral:rRNA from 1 species
UUUUGAAUAAAUUCUGCUCAAUGAGAACUUAAAUAGCCGCAGUAUAUUAACUGUGCUAAGGUAGCAUAAUAAUUAGUUUUUUAAUUAAAAACUAGAAUGAACGAAAAAAUGAAAUAUUAACUAUUUAUAAAUUAAAAUUUAAAAUUUAAGAUCUAAGUAAAAACACUUAGAUAAAAUUAAAAGACAAGAAGACCCUUUAGAAUUUAAUAAAGAUGAGAUAAAAAUAUUAAAUAAAUUUAUUUAAUUGGGGAGAUUUUUAAAUUUUAAUAACUUUAAAUAAAAAAAAACACAAAUAAAUGAAACUAAAUUUAGCCUAAAAAAGAAAAAAAAAUAAAUUACCUAAGGGAUAACAGCGUAAAACACCACAAAAGAUCAAAUUUAAAGGAUGAUUUACGACCUCGAUGUUGGAUUAAGAA